AACGAACGCUGGCGGCAGGCCUAAAACAUGCAAGUCGAACGCCCUAGCAAUAGGGAGUGGCGCACGGGUGAGUAACGCGUGGGAACGUGCCCUUCAGUACGGGACAACGUCGGGAAACUGACGCUAAUACCGUAUAAUAUCUCCGGAUCAAAGAUUUAUCGCUGAGGGAGCGGCCCGCGUCUGAUUAGCUAGUUGGUGAGGUAAUGGCUCACCAAGGCUACGAUCAGUAGCAGGUCUGAGAGGAUGAUCUGCCACACUGGGACUGAGACACGGCCCAGACUCCUACGGGAGGCAGCAGUUAGGAAUAUUGGACAAUGGGCGAAAGCCUGAUCCAGCCAUGCCGCGUGUGUGAUGAAGGCCUUAGGGUUGUAAAGCACUUUCGUUGGGGAUGAUAAUGACCGUACCCAAAGAAGAAGCCACGGCUAAAUUCGUGCCAGCCGCCGCUGUAAAAC
rnacentral:rRNA from 1 species